CUCCCAAACCCCUGUGAACAUACCUUAUGUUGCCUCGGCGGAUCAGCCCGCGCCCCGUAAAAAGGGACGGCCCGCCGCAGGAACCUUAAACUCUGUUUUUAGUGGAACUUCUGAGUAUAAAAAACAAAUAAAUCAAAACUUUCAACAACGGAUCUCUUGGUUCUGGCAUCGAUGAAGAACGCAGCAAAAUGCGAUAAGUAAUGUGAAUUGCAGAAUUCAGUGAAUCAUCGAAUCUUUGAACGCACAUUGCGCCCGCCAGUAUUCUGGCGGGCAUGCCUGUUCGAGCGUCAUUUCAACCCUCAAGCCCAGCUUGGUGUUGGGAGCUGCAGUCCUACUGCACUCCCCAAAUACAUUGGCGGUCACGUCGAGCUUCCAUAGCGUAGUAAUUUACAUAUCGUUACUGGUAAUCGUCGCGGCCACGCCGUUAAACCCCAACUUCUGAAUGUUGACCUCGGAUCAGGUAGGAAUACCCGCUGAACUUAAGCAUAUC
rnacentral:rRNA from 1 species